GGAUUGUAGGCUGAAACUCGCCUACAUGAAGCUGGAGUUACUAGUAAUCGCAGAUCAGAAUGCUGCGGUGAAUGCGUUCCCGGGUCUUGUACACACCGCCCGUCACACCACGGAAGUUGGGGCGCCCGAAGCCACUUAGCUAACCCUUUGGGAAGCGAGUGUCGAAGGUGAAAUCAAUAACUGGGGUGAAGUCGUAACAAGGUAAC
rnacentral:rRNA from 1 species